CACCGGCGGCUCGAGUGGUGGCCACUUUUAUUGGGUCUAAAGCGUCCGUAGCCGGCUUGGCAAGUCCCCUGGGAAAUCUGGCGGCUUAACCGUCAGGCGUCCAGAGGAUACUGCCAGGCUUGGAACCGGGAGAGGUGAGAGGUACCUCAGGGGUAGGGGUGAAAUCUUGUGAUCCCUGAGGGACCACCAGUGGCGAAGGCGUCUCACUAGAACGGGUCCGACGGUCAGGGACGAAAGCUGGGGGCACGAACCGG
rnacentral:rRNA from 1 species